rnacentral:rRNA from 1 species
AUUGAACGCUGACGGCAGGCCUAACACAUGCAAGUCGAGCGGUAACACAGGGAGCUUGCUCCUGGGUGACGAGCGGCGGACGGGUGAGUAAUGUCUGGGAAACUGCCUGAUGGAGGGAGAUAACUACUGGAAACGGUAGCUAAUACCGCAUAACGUCGCAAGACCAAAGAGGGGGACCUUCGGGCCUCUUGCCAUCCGAUGCGCCCAGAUGGGAUUAGCUAGUAGGUGGGGUAACGGCUCACCUAGGCGACGAUCCCUAGCUGGUCUGAGAGGAUGUCCAGCCACACUGGAACUGAGACACGGUCCAGACUCCUACGGGAGGCAGCAGUGGGGAAUAUUGCACAAUGGGCGCAAGCCUGAUGCAGCCAUGCCGCGUGUAUGAAGAAGGCCUUCGGGUUGUAAAGUACUUUCAGCGGGGAGGAAGGCGAUAAGGUUAAUAACCUUGUCGAUUGACGUUACCCGCAGAAGAAGCACCGGCUAACUCCGUGCCAGCCGCCGCCGUAA